AAAAAAUAUAAAAAUUUAAAAAUAUACAAAUUUAUAUAAAUGUGUAAUUUUUACUAGAAGUUAUGGCAUAAAAUAUUGAAAUUCAGUUAAAAUAUAUCAUUGUAUAGUAGUUACAUUGGUCGCCAUAUUGGUUUUUUUCACUACCUGAGUUUAUAGAAACAAUAGAUAUUAAAUUAAUGGAAUGCUCAAUUCGCUAUGGAUAAAUACAUCCCAAAAUAUUCGCAAACAUUGGUUUAACAAUAAUAUGCAUAUGGUGCCAUUAGAAGAGGAAAUAGAAACAGAUUUUUUAUAAAACUACUGAACAAAAAAAAUGAAUGAUAUCACAGAGAAUAUGACGGUUAACGUAAUCUGUAAAAUAAAAUAUUUUUUUACACACGCAUAACUUUUGAUUUCAU